ACUUCCGGGUACAUCGGCAGACUUAUUUACCGUUACGCAUAUAGGUAACCCGAAGAACUCGAGGGAUAUAGAAGUUAUAUUUGUUUCGGUCCUCUUCAGAUUUGAAGGAAUGGAUAGCACGGGUCAAAAAAUGCAGGUAGGUCAAUUAUCUGACGGAAAAACGAGGGAUUUAUAGAGUUUAAUAAAACUAGUUUAUUUUCGGAUAGUGACAGUUGUUUCGGAUGUUUUGUCAAGAUGUAUAGACAAGGAGAUAUAUGACAAGUACAGAAUAUACAGUUGUUCAAUAUGGACCAUUAAUCAACUGUUUGCACUGCCUAUGAUCCUGAAAUAUCUAUACAUCAAAGAUAAAAAGGGAAAAGAUGAAGGAGGAUUUGUCCAUGAAGACCUUUAUUGCAACUACCAUCUUCCAGUUCCUUAAUUUGAGAAUGAUAUCAGAGAACACACAGUUACAGUGAAAUAUUAGUUUAAUAUAAGCCACUGAAAAUAGUCAAAUGUACUUUCCUGAAGAAGAUGAAUGACAUCCAGCACAAAAAUCUUAAUGUAUAAAGAGUAUGAUUUAUGGUGUUUGACACUAUGA